UACGUAGGGACCGAGCGUUGUCCGGAUUCAUUGGGCGUAAAGAGCUCGUAGGCGGCUGUUCAAGUCGAACGUGAAAACUCGGGGCUCAACUCCGAGCCUGCGUUCGAUACUGAAUGGCUAGAGUCUGGUAGGGGGAUCUGGAAUUCCUGGUGUAGCGGUGGAAUGCGCAGAUAUCAGGAGGAACACCGGUGGCGAAGGCGGGAUCCUGGGCCAGUACUGACACUGAUGAGCGAAAGCCAGGGGAGCAAACGGG
rnacentral:rRNA from 1 species